rfam:Rhodobacteraceae bacterium O3.65 TRIHO_contig000139, whole genome shotgun sequence.
AGGCACACGCAGGGGAGUCCCGCCCAAGGGGACUGAGAGGCUGACAGGGAGAAAUCCCGGUGACGCGACCCUUAGAACCUGACCCAGUUGAUACUGGCGUAGGAAGCUAGGACAUUCGCGCC